rnacentral:rRNA from 1 species
GAUGAACGCUGGCGGCGUGCCUAAUACAUGCAAGUCGAGCGAACGGACGAGAAGCUUUCUUCUCUGAUGUUGGCGGCGGACGAGUGAGUAACACGUGGAUAGCCUACCUAUAUGACUGGGAUAACUUAGAGAAACAGUAGCUAGUACCGGAUAAUAUUUUGAAACGCAUGGUUCAACAGGGAAAGACGGGCGUGCUGACACUUAUAGAUGGAUCCGCGCUGCAUUAGCUAGUUGGUAAGGUAACGGCCUACCAAGGCAACGAUGCAUAGCCGACCUGAGAGGGUGAUCGGCCACACUGGAACUGAGACACGGUCCAGACUCCUACGGGAGGCAGCAGUAGGGAAUCUUCCGCAAUGGGCGCAAGCCUGACGGAGCGACGCCGCGUGAGUGAUGAAGGUCUUCGGAUCGUAAAGCUCUGUUAUUAGGGAAGAACAUAUGUGUAAGUAACUGUGCUCAGCGUGACGGUACCUAAUCAGAAAGCCACGGCUAACUACGUG